GGCUGGUCCAAUGGUAGUGGGUUAUCAGAACUUAUUAACAUUAGUGUCACUAAAGUUUGUAUACAACCCCCCUGCUGCUAUAUAUGACUGGCUAAUA
rnacentral:Y_RNA from 1 species